GGGCGCAAGNCCUGAUGCAGCCAUGCCGCGUGUAUGAAGAAGGCCUUCGGGUUGUAAAGUACUUUCAGCGGGGAGGAAGGGAGUAAAGUUAAUACCUUUGCUCAUUGACGUUACCCGCAGAAGAAGCACCGGCUAACUCCGUGCCAGCAGCCGCGGUAAUACGGAGGGUGCAAGCGUUAAUCGGAAUUACUGGGCGUAAAGCGCACGCAGGCGGUUUGUUAAGUCAGAUGUGAAAUCCCCGGGCUCAACCUGGGAACUGCAUCUGAUACUGGCAAGCUUGAGUCUCGUAGAGGGGGGUAGAAUUCCAGGUGUAGCGGUGAAAUGCGUAGAGAUCUGGAGGAAUACC
rnacentral:rRNA from 1 species